CAGCGCCUCUGGAGGCCCCACAGCAGGAACUUUCCUGGCAGGGGCUGCACUUUGGCUCUCCCUCGGCCUCCCUGGCCAGGCUGGCAGGGGCUGCAGUUCAGAAAAGAGGUGAAAGAACGAUUCCCCAGGUGAUCUUGAUGCUGAAUGUCUCCCUAGGAGAUCUGGGCAUGGAGAGGAACAAGCCCCUUGCAGGCUGACCCAUUUUGGACAACCUGCUCCUCACCCCAGCCUCACCAUGUCUGACAUGGCCCACCUGGGACUGACAUCCCAAAACAUAAAAAAGUAUGCAUUUUAAAAAUAAAUAAGAUUGAUUAAUUUAUAAAAUUAUAAUUAUAGUUUUUUUAAUUUAUAUUAGUAUUACUGUAUAUUUCUAUUACCUUUGAUAUUUAUGUGAAAAAUUGAAUACAUUUUUAGCAGUCAAAAAAUUAUUUGUCAUUGGUUUUAAAUAAAACAAUUCCUUUCAUUAAAUCAUUGACCACUACUGGCCAUUUAUUUCUCCUUCUUAAUGCUAAUUAGUGCUAUUUUUAGAUCUUUUGACAUAUUUUUUUAUUAUUUUCAUGGACAGGGUAAAAGGGGCCACUUUGGGGUCCCUGGAGACAUUUCUGGGGCACAUUUGGGGCAGUUUUGGGUCUGGGCAGUAUGAUAAACAAGUCCACUGAAUUUAAGGAUCAAAUAAUUAUCUUUAUUAUUUUGCAAGCAAGAAUAAGCAAGGACAGCUCUGGGCGGCCCGGAGUCUCCGCUCCACUUUGGCUCACAAAAUCCUAUCCCCUGAGUCCACCCUUUAUUGCCUUCUUCUCCGGGUUUAGGGAUGACGUGAUCUGUCUUCUGCACUUGCUCGUUCAGUUGCUCGGGGGUCUUUUUCUGCCUUCUGGUGGUCGUGGGAUGAAGGCUUAGUCCCCCUUAGUCUUCCUCUUUGUGAAUGCUGAGUGAACUUAUGCCUUAUAAGGCAUAUCUAUACAGAACACUAUACACUUUCUGCAAGCUAAGCAAUUCUUACUAGUACUAUACACUUUCUGCAAGCUCAGAAAUUCUAGCGAGUUUAAGGAUUGCUAUUACAGCUGCUUCUCAUUACUUUCUUUUCACAAGGCAUAACUUUACAAUGGAAUUCCCAAAGCACUAUAGUAAACCAGCAACCAUAUGUAUCUGCACGAGAAGUUUUUUGGCUAUUUAACUAUUGUUUUAUAUUGUAUAGUUAUUUAGCUAUUGAUUUAAUUAAUGAACAAACGUAUUACUACUUAUUACAAAUCCCCCAUUUCUUUUUUUACCAAUUUUGUUCAUUAAAUCUUUCUAGUUCUUUCUUAGCAAGCAUUAAAUGAGCUGCCUCAUCAGUUAAGCUAUGUGCACUAAUUAUAGGUACUAACUUCCUUAGUUUCUUCAUCAUAUUCCAAUUCAUAAUGAAUGGAACUGCUGACAAAAUAAAACCAAGCACAGUCAAUAUCAACAGAACAACAAUGGGAUGGCAUAUACUGUUUAGGACCCCUGCGGCAUUAGGAGACCAACCGAAAAGGGUAUCCCACUGGAUGUCACUCUGGAAAUGCCAGUGGCUCUGGAAAUGCCAGCUGAGAGCUCUGGCAGUGACUGACACUGCACUGAGAGGGGCCACAGUCCUGCAAGGGGCUUUCAUCAGGAGCAAAGAGCAGCCUGGAGGGUGGGCAAUGCUGGAUCUGUACCACUGCGUGCUCAUCCUUCACCUGAAUGUGGAGCUGCCCCCAAAGUU